UACGGAGGAUCCAAGCGUUAUCCGGAAUCAUUGGGUUUAAAGGGUCCGUAGGCGGUCUAGUAAGUCAGUGGUGAAAGCCCAUCGCUCAACGGUGGAACGGCCAUUGAUACUGCUGGACUUGAAUUAUUGGGAAGCAACUAGAAUAUGUAGUGUAGCGGUGAAAUGCUUAGAGAUUACAUGGAAUACCAAUUGCGAAGGCAGGUUGCUACCAAUUGAUUGACGCUGAUGGACGAAAGUGUGGGUAGCGAACAGG
rnacentral:rRNA from 1 species